rnacentral:rRNA from 1 species
UACGGAGGAGGCAAGCGUUAUCCGGAAUUAUUGGGCGUAAAGCGUCCGCAGGUGGCUAUUCAAGUCUGCGGUCAAAGACUGGGGCUUAACCCUGGAAAGGCCGUGGAAACUGAAGAGCUAGAGUGCGUAGGGGUAGAGGGAUUCCCGGUGUAGCGGUGAAAUGCGUAGAUAUCGAGAGGAACACCUGCGGCGAAGGCGGGUGCUGGGCCGACACUGACGCUGGAGGCGCGACAGCGUGGGGAGCAAACAGG